rnacentral:rRNA from 9 species
GGAAGUGAUCAAGCGAUGACAACCAGGAGGUGGGCUUGGAAGCGGCCAUCCUUUGAAGAAAGCGUAAUAGCUCACUGGUCUAGCUCCAUGUCACCGAAAAUG